CCUACGGGGGGCAGCAGUGGGGGAUAUUGCACAAUGGGGGAAACCCUGAUGCAGCGACGCCGCGUGUGGGAAGACGGUCCUCUGGAUUGUAAACCACUGUCCCCAGGGACGAAAAUGACGGUACCUGGGGAGGAAGCUCCGGCUAACUACGUGCCAGCAGCCGCGGUAAUACGUAGGGAGCGAGCGUUGUCCGGAAUUACUGGGUGUAAAGGGAGCGUAGGCGGGGAUACAAGUUGGGUGUCAAAACUACCGGCUCAACUGGUAGUCGCACUCAAAACUGCAGCUCUGGAGGGAAGUAGAGGCAG
rnacentral:rRNA from 1 species